rnacentral:rRNA from 1 species
GACGAACGCUGGCGGCGUGCCUAACACAUGCAAGUCGAACGUAGUGUUUAUUUAUAAACACUUAGUGGCGAACGGGUGAGUAACGCGUAGCCAACCUACCCUCCAGCUGGGGACAACAUCGCGCAAGUGGCCCUAAUACCGAAUGUUGUACUGUUUUUGCAUCUUUAUAUUACUAAAGGUGGCCUCUAUAUAAUAGUUACCGCCAGAAGAUGGGUAUGGGUCUGAUCAGCUAUGUGGUGGGAUAACAGCUCACCAAGGAGAUGAUCAGUAGCCCGUCUAAGAGGAUGAACGAGCACACUGGGACUGAGACACGGGCCAGACUCCUACGGGAGGAAGCAGUGGGGAAGCUUCCGCAAUGGACGAAAGUAUGACGGAGCAACAGCGCGUGAGUGAAGAAGGUUUUCGGAUCGUAAAGCUCUGUCUUCAAGGACGAAUGUAGAUAUUGAGAAUAAUGAUAUUUAAUGACGGUACUUGAGGAGGAAGCCACGGCUAACUACGUGCCAGCCGCCGCGGUAA